rnacentral:rRNA from 1 species
UACGUAGGGUGCAAGCGUUAAUCGGAAUUACUGGGCGUAAAGCGUGCGCAGGCGGUGAUGUAAGACAGGUGUGAAAUCCCCCGGGCUUAACCUGGGAACUGCAUUUGUGACUGCAUCGCUGGAGUGCGGCAGAGGGGGAUGGAAUUCCGCGUGUAGCAGUGAAAUGCGUAGAUAUGCGGAGGAACACCGAUGGCGAAGGCAAUCCCCUGGGCCUGCACUGACGCUCAUGCACGAAAGCGUGGG